rnacentral:tRNA from 1 species
GGAGACAUAGCUCAGUGGUAGGGCACUUGCUUAGCAUGCGGGAGGCCCUGGGUUCCAUCCCCAGCUCUG